rnacentral:rRNA from 1 species
AGAGUUUGAUCCUGGCUCAGGAUGAACGCUAGCUACAGGCUUAACACAUGCAAGUCGAGGGGCAGCAUGGUCUUAGCUUGCUAAGGCCGAUGGCGACCGGCGCACGGGUGAGUAACACGUAUCCAACCUGCCGUCUACUCUUGGACAGCCUUCUGAAGGGAAGAUUAAUACAAGAUGGCAUCAUGAGUUCAUAUGUUCACAUGAUUAAAGGUAUUCCGGUAGACGAUGGGGAUGCGUUCCAUUAGAUAGUAGGCGGGGUAACGGCCACCUAGUCUUCGAUGGAUAGGGGUUCUGAGAGGAAGGUCCCCCANAUUGGAACUGAGACACGGUCCAAACUCCUACGGGAGCA